rnacentral:rRNA from 1 species
GACGAACGCUGGCGGCGUGCUUAACACAUGCAAGUCGAACGGAAAGGCCCUGCUUUUGUGGGGUGCUCGAGUGGCGAACGGGUGAGUAACACGUGAGUAACCUGCCCUUGACUUUGGGAUAACUUCAGGAAACUGGGGCUAAUACCGGAUAGGAGCUCCUGCUGCAUGGUGGGGGUUGGAAAGUUUCGGCGGUUGGGGAUGGACUCGCGGCUUAUCAGCUUGUUGGUGGGGUAUUGGCUUACCAAGGCUUUGACGGGUAGCCGGCCUGAGAGGGUGACCGGCCACAUUGGGACUGAGAUACGGCCCAGACUCCUACGGGCGGCAGCAGUGGGGAAUAUUGCACAAUGGGCGGAAGCCUGAUGCAGCAACGCCGCGUGCGGGAUGACGGCCUUCGGGUUGUAAACCGCUUUCGCCUGUGACGAAGCGUGAGUGACGGUAAUGGGUAAAGAAGCACCGGCUAACUACGUG